rnacentral:rRNA from 1 species
UACAGAGGUCUCAAGCGUUGUUCGGAUUCAUUGGGCGUAAAGGGUGCGUAGGUGGCGCGGUAAGUCGGGUGUGAAAUCUCGGAGCUUAACUCCGAAAUUGCAUUCGAUACUGCCGUGCUCGAGGACUGGAGAGGAGACUGGAAUUCAUGGUGUAGCAGUGAAAUGCGUAGAGAUCAGGAGGAACACCGGUGGCGAAGGCGGUUCUCUGGGCCUUACCUGACGCUGAGGAGCGAAAGCGUGGGGAGCGAACAGG